rnacentral:rRNA from 1 species
UACGUAGGGGGCAAGCGUUGUCCGGAAUCAUUGGGCGUAAAGCGCGUGUAGGCGGCUAGGUAAGUCUGCUCUGAAAGCCCGGGGCUCAACCCCGGGAGGCGGGUGGAUACUGUCUAGCUCGAGUCCGGAAGAGGAGUGUGGAAUUCCUGGUGUAGCGGUGAAAUGCGCAGAUAUCAGGAGGAACACCAGUGGCGAAGGCGACUCUUUGGUCUGUAACUGACGCUGAGGCGCGAAAGCGUGGGGAGCAAACAGG